CCGGUCAACAUUCCGGAACCACUUAAGAUGAGUGAUGGAGGGACGCAACGAGGUAGGCCGGCCUGUGAUUGGUUGAACAGGUGUGCCUUAUGUCAGCCGUUGAGGUUUGUAGGCAAAUCCGCAAACCGAGGUGAGAUAAGGCAGCGAGCCCCUGAGGCGUAAGUGAGUUGAGCCUUGUUGCCAAGAAAAGCUUCUAAACGUUGAUUCUUAAGUGCCUGUACCGCAAUCCGACACGGGUAGAUGGGUAGAAUAUACCAAGGCGAACGGGAGAACCUUCGUUAAGGAACUAGGCAAUUUAGCCUCGUAACUUCGGGAUAAGAGGUGUCUUCUGGCGUAAGUGAAUAAUGAGCGCUGGAAGAUCGCAGUGAAAUGGUUCUAGGGACUGGUUAACAAAACCACAGGUCUCUGCAAAGCCGUAAGGCGAUGUAUAGGGGCUGACACCUGCCCAGUGCCGGAAGGUUAAAGGGAGAGGUUAGUUCCCCUUCGGGGGAACGAAGCUUUGAACUGAAGCCCCGGUGAACGGCGGCCGUAACUAUAACGGUCCUAAGGUAGCGAAAUUCCUUGUCGGGUAAGUUCCGACCCGCACGAAAGGUGUAACAACUAGAACAGUGUCUCGACGAAGGACCCGGCGAAAUUGAAAUGGCUGUGAAGAUGCGGCCUACCCGCAGUAGGACAAAAAGACCCCGUGGAGCUUUACUGCAACUUGGCAUUGAGUUUGGAUUUCAUUUGUGUAGGAUAGGUGGGAGGCUAUGAAACUAGGGCGCCAGCCUUGGUGGAGCCGCCGGUGAAAUACCACCCUGAUGAACUCUAGACCCUAACCUUUAUCCGUAAUCCGGAUAAGGGACCGUGCCAGGUGGGCAGUUUGACUGGGGCGGUCGCCUCCUAAAGAGUAACGGAGGCGCCCAAAGGUUCCCUCAGGCUGAAUGGAAACCAGCCAGAGAGUGUAAAGGCAUAAGGGAGCUUAACUGCAAGGCCAACGCGCCGAGCAGAGACGAAAGUCGGGCUUAGUGAUCCCACGGUUCCGUGUGGAAGGGCCGUGGCUCAUCGGAUAAAAGCUACCCCGGGGAUAACAGGCUAGUCAGGUCCAAGAGUCCAUAUCGACGACCUGGCUCGGCACCUCGAUGUCGGCUCAUCGCAUCCUGGGGCUGGAUAAGGUCCCAAGGGUCGGGCUGUUCGCCCGUUAAAGCGGUACGCGAGCUGGGUUCAGACCGUCGUGAGACAGGUCGGUCUCUAUCCAGUGUGGGCGUAAGAGAUUUGAGAGGAGCUGCUCCUAGUACGAGAGGACCGGAGUGGACAGACCUCUGGUGUGCCAGCUGUCGUGCCAACGGCAUUGCUGGGUAGCUACGUCUGGCAGAGAUAACCGCUGAAAGCAUCUAAGCGGGAAACUUGCCUCAAGAUUAGAUCUCUAUAAUCCCGUAAAGGGAGUAAGAUCGCAGGUAGACUACCUGCUUGAUAGGCAGUAUGUGUAAGCGCAGUAAUGCGUUGAGCUAAACUGUACUAAUGAUCGAGAGCUUCCAA
rnacentral:rRNA from 1 species